AGGGCUAUAGCUCAGUUAGGUAGAGCACCUCGUUUACACCGAGAAGGUCUACGGUUC
rnacentral:tRNA from 1 species